UACGGAGGGGGCUAGCGUUGUUCGGAAUUACUGGGCGUAAAGAGCGCGUAGGCGGCUUAACAAGUUGGAGGUGAAAUCCCGUCGCUUAACUCCGGAACUGCCUUCGAAACUGUUAAGCUUGAAUGCGGGAGAGGGGCGCGGAAUUCCAAGUGUAGAGGUGAAAUGCGUAGAUAUUGGGAAGAACACCGGUUGCGAAGGCGGCCGCCUAGCCCGGCUUUGACGCUGAGGCGCGAAAGCGUGGGUAGCGAACAGG
rnacentral:rRNA from 1 species